GCACUCAAAGAAGCCAGUCCUCUGCCCCGACUCACCCACAACCUCUGUGUGGCAGACGCUGCCAUGGACAUGCCCCACCCUCACACCAGCACAUUCCAUGCCGGGACACAUAUCUGUGCCUCUCUACCUGGAGGCUGUCCCGAGGCCUGUGCAUGCGGCAGGCAGAGGGGCUGGGGAGCUGGUGGCCCUAGCAGCAGCCUUUUGCUAGGACAGACGCUCUUGCUGUUUUUACCUGCUUGGACCCCACUCUGUCUUCAGCCCGGAGGAACCAUCCAGUCCACAGACGAGACCUGAGGCUCAGGAGCAAAGCAACUUGCCACGAUCGCAUCACACCUUUCAGCCCUGAGCAGAGAUGCGUUUCCUAUUCCACAUCGCCACCUAGCGGAGAGAGAGAGCGAGAGCGCACCGCGCAUUUUUGAUCCAGUGAGCAAAGGCAGGGAAACCCUCACGUCAAACAGGUCUGAAGACCUCUUCACACCCACGGCCAGCUCUCUAUGGGACUCGCGCUUGCACUAACUCCACUACACAGCCCGCCCUGUCGGUGGAGGAAAUAGACAUAAAAGGCUUCCCUUUAUCACCAGGUGGCCCUGGCGGCUGAUAGGCCACAUCCUGUACAAGCAGGGGACGCCCUUCCUUCAGGGCAGUCCUGCUCGUCGCCCAGGUCCUGCUCCGAGUCUACCAGCUCCGAGUCUACCCCAAAGCCUCAGCAUGCUGCCUUUUCCCUCUAACUCGGGAGAAAGUACGUUCAAGACAGCCCUGGACUCAGAGGCUCACGCCUGUAAUCCCAGCACUUUGGGAGGCCAAGGCAAAGAGGACCGACCACUGGAUCACUUGAGCCCAGAAGUUUGAGACCAGCCUGGGCAACACAGUGAGACCCCUGUCUCUAAAAAAAUUAGUUAAUUAAUUUUUUUAAAAGAGACUUUUCCUUAUCUUACUCAUUCUUUUGACAUCAUUUUAAAUGAGAAAUGCAGAAUAUGACAUUAUACAUACUGAUAUUUUAUUUUUUUACAUAAAAUUUCAUGUGUUAAAAAACUGCACUAAAAAAAAUCUAGAAUUAUGUUAAAAUUGAUGCUGGUUAUUUGUGAAUAGUAGGAUUUUUUUUAAUGUAUUCCAACACCUAUAUAUUCCAACUUUUCCACAUUUCCGAAGUCUCCUGGAAUACUUUGGUGAUGGGAAGGAAAGAUAUGUUUACGGUUUUUGGAACACUGGAAAACGUUUCCUGUGAUGCCCUAGAGGGUUGUGGCAUAGGAGCCAGCCUUGAAGUGGAAACCCUAGGCCAUCCACUCACAAUCUGAGUAUCCUUGAGUGAGUCAUCUCUCUAACCCCCACCGUGUUCCCCAUAAACUAGAAAUAAUUAUAGCUGCCCCCACCUGACAGUCUUACUGUAAGGAUUCAAUGUGAUGAUGUAAAACAUUGGUAUCGUGUGAGUAUUCAAUAAAUAUUCCUUGAGUGAAUUUAGUGUUUUAUAU
rnacentral:lncRNA from 13 species